UACAUGAUAUUUAUUUGCUUAAAAUAUAAUGAUGUAGGAAUCAAUUUUUUAUAUGUGAUUUUCUUUCUUGGUAAUCAAAAAGUUAACUUGCAUGUUUGAUUGUUUUGGAGAUUUUUUGUCUUAAUGAGUGAUUCACCUUUGUUUAGAACCCUCCCAAGCUGGCUACUCCUCUAUUUGAUACUAAAAUGGCAGAGGACCCUAAGAUGACAUACAUAGACCUAGAUAAUCUUCAAAUUGUGUUUUGAACGAAGAGUAGUGUUUGGUCUUGCAUUGUGAUGGCGUCUGAGUGUUGGCUUGGUCUCUGUUGGCUUGCUACAUAUCUAGAAAGCUCCAUGAUUUGUGCUAAGCUGAAGCGUAUCCAAUUUGGAUUUUCUAGCUCAAAAUAUCAGUAGAUUUGUUGUGGUAGUGCCUUAACAGGAUUUGAGACUUCUCCAUUCAGGAAAAGACAAGUCCGGUAGAUACAAAAAUUACAAGAUUGCAAGUUUGGAUUGAAGGUCACAAGAAAAAAAAUGGGGAGCC